rnacentral:rRNA from 1 species
UAGGGAAUCUUCGGCAAUGGACGAAAGUCUGACCGAGCAACGCCGCGUGAGUGAAGAAGGUUUUCGGAUCGUAAAACUCUGUUGUUAGAGAAGAACAAGGACGUUAGUAACUGAACGUCCCCUGACGGUAUCUAACCAGAAAGCCACGGCUAACUACGUGCCAGCAGCCGCGGUAAUACGUAGGUGGCAAGCGUUGUCCGGAUUUAUUGGGCGUAAAGCGAGCGCAGGCGGUUUCUUAAGUCUGAUGUGAAAGCCCCCGGCUCAACCGGGGAGGGGCAUUGGAAACUGGGCGACUUGAGUGCAGAAGAGGAGAGUGGAAUUCCAUGUGUAGCGGUGAAAUGCGUAGAUAUAUGGAGGAACACCAGUGGCGAAGGCGGCUCUCUGGUCUGUAACUGACGCUGAGGCUCGAAAGCGUGGGGAGCAAACGGG